AGAACGAACGCUGGCGGCAGGCUUAACACAUGCAAGUCGAACGCUCCGCAAGGGGAGUGGCAGACGGGUGAGUAACGCGUGGGAACAUACCCCUCGGUUCGGAAUAACUCAGGGAAACUUGAGCUAAUACCGGAUACGGUCGAGAGGCGAAAGAUUUAUCGCCGAGGGAUUGGCCCGCGUCCGAUUAGCUAGUUGGUGAGGUAAUGGCUCACCAAGGCGACGAUCGGUAGCUGGUCUGAGAGGAUGAUCAGCCACAUUGGGACUGAGACACGGCCCAAACUCCUACGGGAGGCAGCAGUGGGGAAUAUUGGACAAUGGGCGAAAGCCUGAUCCAGCCAUGCCGCGUGAGUGAUGACGGCCUUAGGGUUGUAAAGCUCUGCCGGAGGGGAAGAACACAAUGACGGUACCCUACCAAGAACGCCCCGGCUAACUACGUGCCAGCAGCCGC
rnacentral:rRNA from 1 species